CCAGGGUGAGGUAGUAGGUUGUAUAGUAAAAUAUUUUUUCAUUUUUAUUUCUUACUAUACAGCUCGCUAACUUUCCUUA
rnacentral:pre_miRNA from 1 species